rnacentral:rRNA from 1 species
CCUACGGGAGGCAGCAGUGGGGAAUAUUGCACAAUGGGGGAAACCCUGAUGCAGCGACGCCGCGUGAGUGAAGAAGUAAUUCGUUAUGUAAAGCUCUAUCAGCAGGGAAGAAAAUGACGGUACCUGAGUAAGAAGCCCCGGCUAACUACGUGCCAGCAGCCGCGGUAAGACGUAGGGGGCAAGCGUUAUCCGGAUUUACUGGGUGUAAAGGGAGCGUAGACGGCAGUGCAAGUCUGGAGUGAAAGGUGGGGGCUCAACCCCCGGACUGCUCUGGAAACUGUACGGCUGGAGUGCAGGUGAGGUAAGUGGAAUUCCUGGUGUAGCGGUGAAAUGCGUAGAAAUUAGGAGGAACACCAGUGGCGAGGGCGGCGUACUGGACUGUAACUGACGCUGAGGCUCGAAAGCGUGGGGAGCAAACAGGAUUAGAUACCCCUGUAGUC